CUCGAACUUUAACAACAAUCAAGGAUGGGAGGUAGAUAUGCUGGUGAUGGAAGUUAAGAUAAAACAAAGGGCUAAAAUAAAUCAUGUCAACAGAAAUUCAAGACCUAAAUACCUUCAAACUUGAAUAUAAUAAUUAAGGUUCCUAGUUACACACCUUAAACAUAUUGGCAGGACAAGUCAGUUGCACACUUUCAACAAAUUUGUGUCUAAAUCGGACCACUUACACCGCCCUACUAGAGUGUUUUGAAUAGACUCACUACAAUCCCAUGUAUGUGCCAUGUAAGACAAGAUACAACAACUAAAACUCUAAUAACAUUUGGAUUUAUGGAGAUACAACCAGAGAAUUAACUCUAGUUUUUGGUGCUUCAUCUUUGUGAGAACAACAAUUUAUCUUCAAAUCUAACAUAUAUAUACAACACUCAAAGACACUAACAACUGGACAUCAAUGUUUCAUCGAUCAAACGCUCAUAACCAUUAACCCUAGAUAUUCAACACAGAACACCCAAUUUACCCAUGAAUCUACACGGACGCACAGAGUCUCUUCUAUGGACCAGAAGGACUCAACGUUACCACUAAUCUCAACGCUCUUUCCACUAAUUUCACAAAGAAACACUCACUCUCUAAACCGAUUAAAGAGAAGAACCAACAUCAACACAGACGUUGAAGGCGAAAGAGAAAGAGAAUAGAACUC
rnacentral:lncRNA from 1 species